rnacentral:rRNA from 1 species
AGUGAACGCUGGCGGUAGGCCUAACACAUGCAAGUCGAACGGCAGCACAGUAAGAGCUUGCUCUUACGGGUGGCGAGUGGCGGACGGGUGAGGAAUACAUCGGAAUCUACUUUUUCGUGGGGGAUAACGUAGGGAAACUUACGCUAAUACCGCAUACGACCUACGGGUGAAAGCAGGGGAUCUUCGGACCUUGCGCGAUUGAAUGAGCCGAUGUCGGAUUAGCUAGUUGGCGGGGUAAGGGCCCACCAAGGCGACGAUCCGUAGCUGGUCUGAGAGGAUGAUCAGCCACACUGAAACUGAGACACGGUCCAGACUCCUACGGGAGGCAGCAGUGGGGAAUAUUGGACAAUGGGCGCAAGCCUGAUCCAGCCAUACCGCGUGGGUGAAGAAGGCCUUCGGGUUGUAAAGCCCUUUUGUUGGGAAAGGAAAGCAGCAGGUUAAUACCCCGCUGUUCUGACGGUACCCAAAGAAUAAGCACCGGCUAACUUCGUG